ACGAACGCUGGCGGCAUGCCUAACACAUGCAAGUCGAACGAGACCUUCGGGUCUAGUGGCGCACGGGUGCGUAACGCGUGGGAAUCUGCCCUUAGGUUCGGAAUAACUCAGAGAAAUUUGAGCUAAUACCGGAUAAUGACGUAAGUCCAAAGAUUUAUCGCCUAGGGAUGAGCCCGCGUAAGAUUAGGUAGUUGGUGGGGUAAAAGCCUACCAAGCCGACGAUCUUUAGCUGGUCUGAGAGGAUGAUCAGCCACACUGGGACUGAGACACGGCCCAGACUCCUACGGGAGGCAGCAGUGGGGAAUAUUGGACAAUGGGCGAAAGCCUGAUCCAGCAAUGCCGCGUGAGUGAUGAAGGCCUUAGGGUUGUAAAGCUCUUUUACCAGGGAUGAUAAUGACAGUACCUGGAGAAUAAGCCCCGGCUAACUCCGU
rnacentral:rRNA from 1 species